UACGUAGGGCGCAAGCGUUGUCCGGAAUUAUUGGGCGUAAAGAGCUCGUAGGCGGCCUGUUGCGUCCGCUGUGAAAUCCCGGGGCUUAACCCCGGGCCUGCAGUGGAUACGGGCAGGCUGGAGGCAGGCAGGGGAGAACGGAAUUCCCGGUGUAGCGGUGAAAUGCGCAGAUAUCGGGAGGAACACCGGUGGCGAAGGCGGUUCUCUGGGGCCUGUACUGAC
rnacentral:rRNA from 1 species